rnacentral:rRNA from 1 species
UACGUAGGGUACUAGCGUUGUCCGGAUUUAUUGGGCGUAAAGCGAGCGCAGGCGGUCUUUUAAGUCUAAUGUGAAAGCCUUCGGCUCAACCGAAGAAGUGCAUUGGAAACUGGGAGACUUGAGUGCAGAAGAGGACAGUGGAACUCCAUGUGUAGCGGUGAAAUGCGUAGAUAUAUGGAAGAACGCCAGUGGCGAAGGCGGCUGUCUGGUCUGUAACUGUCGCUGAGGCUCGAAAGCAUGGGUAGCGAACAGG